GGGCUUGAGAUGAGGAACAGAAGCACAGGUGGAGCGGGGAUUCCUUUUACCAAUUUCAGCACUGAAUGCAGAUAUUAGGGAGGCUCCCCCAAUCUGUUCCAAACCUGGAGUCAGCUCUUUGGUGGCCUGUCCAGGAAUCAUCUUGGGGCUUCUGCUCCAGGCCCAGGCUGCAGGUCAACUUCAGACUGCAGGAAGAAAAGUUCUAAUCAUGUCCAGACUAGAGGACUGAAGACCCUUAAGAAAAGAGAGAGCUCUGCUCAGACUUGUACCUCUUGGAGGAGCACUGUGGCCCUCGCCUCCUGGAAAUGACAGAAGCAGGACUGGGUAAGGGGAGGAAUUGUGUUGCUGCAAUAACAAAGGUUCUGAAGCUAUCAUGGCCCUGAAGAGUGGUCCUGAACCAGGGCAGGGGGGCCUGGCUUUUGUACCUCUGCUUUUGGACUCUGUCCUGCUGGGUGACCUUGCCUGGGCGAGCGGAAGCUUCAUUGCAGAGAGAAGCAGGGGAUCUGAGCAGAAGCCCACAGUAGCUGCUACAUAGAUGUUAUAUAAAGUGUGUAAGCAGAGAGUAUUUAUGAGGGCCCGUGUGUAUGUGGGGUGUGUGUGUGUGUGUGUGUGUGUGUGUGUGUGUGUGUGUAUGAAUUGCUGUAUAUGAACAUGCCUGUCUUUGACGUCUAUGGGGAAUGUUUUUAUGCACUUGGGGUGACAGUGUUGGAGUGUGACCUUGUGUCUUGCACUUGUGUGCAUGUGUGGAAGUCGGGGAGCUGUGUGUGGCUCUGCCCAGAUGUCCAGCUGUGCCCGGUUUGCAUGUGGGUGCUCUAUAUGUGGGAGCGCUGGCACGUGGAUGUGUACCAGCUUCCAGACUCAUCAGAUGGGAAGCCCUGUGACCUCCUGUUCCUAAAAGAGGACAGAGGAGGCCACUUGAGCCAGGGUAGGGGAUGCUGGGCUGCCUAAGUGGCCUUGGGUGGGGAGUGGAAGGAACUGGCGGAGGCCACCUCAUCUGAAGAAGUAGCCCUUUCUUUGGACCUACCUGGGCCUUUAUAUCCCUUCGACCCUUGUCCUCCCGGCCCAGCCUGCCCCUGGGAAGUGCAAAGCCUCAGAAGAAGAGCUUGCGGAAGGUCUGGAUGCAGGCACUGCCUCACCGCUGCUGGCAGGGGGGCAGUUUCUGCUGACUCCACUCUUCAGAGUCAGCGAGCCUCUCCAGAGCCCCCACAGAACAGACUGACUGGUCUUUGACUGGUGAACCCUCUGGAAACCUCUUCCACUGGCUCACAGAAUGUCUCCAAACACUUUUUUGUUCAUGUGAAAUUGUUCUGGAAAAGCACACCCACCCACCUCCACUGGUAACUGUAAGGGUUUAAUAAAUGAUUUUUAAAAAUCCU
rnacentral:lncRNA from 1 species